GGGAAUGUGGCUUAGUGGUAGAGUGCUUGCCUAGCAAGCAUGAAGCCCUGGGUUUAAUUCCUCAUUACCA
rnacentral:tRNA from 1 species